CCGAGGGUCCAAGACGGGGAGGGUCCAUGUGUGUCAGCAGGCUUGCCCGUGUGGUUCUUCCCUUGCCUAGGGAACCGCACUAGGGACGGUGCUUGGCCAGAUGUACUCUGGGCAGCUGUGAAGGUCAAAGGUGAAGGCCAGGAGAUGACCUGGCCCUAGGAGAGUGUCUGGCACAUGGGAAGCGCUCGGUGAAUUGGUUGAAGAAUGGGAGGAAAGGAAGGAGCGAGGGAGGGCAGGAGGGAAGCAAAAGCUACAUCUGUCCACCCAUUAUUAAUGAGUCACCAUAAAUCUCUCAUUUCAGGAUAAGGAAAUGUCAUUAGAAGGUCCCUGAGGGAGAAAAAUGCCUGCGUCCUCUGGGCUAGGAAUGCCUUUUUCCAUUUUUCCUUCCUGUAAAAAUUGUAUUCCCAUCUCUGGGGCUUAGCGCAAGCCGUAUUUCCAAAGAGGUUUGGGAGGACUUCUGGCAAAAUCCAUCCCUCCACCCCUACCCUGCCUUUGACAGUUCUGUAGGCUGGGGAUGCUCGUUGCUGCAGAUCCUCGGAUGCCAGGGCUGGCGACUGGGCACUGCGAGGCCACAGAGGCCGCUGAAGCUGAGAGGGCAAGUGACUUGCCCAGGGAGACGCAGCUAAGACACCGUGAGCCGUGUGGAUUCCAGAGCCCCUGCUGGCCUGGGUACCUCCCAACCUCUGCUUUUGGCUCCCUCUGUCUGGGCAGCUUUCCAGGAAGAAGAGGCCUGUACUUUUGGGUCCGCCUGCAGUUAAGGCGCGUAGGUGUGCUCCUCCUCCGGGCUGGCUUCCCAGUGCCCUGUGUUGUAGGCAGCCAUGUGGAUCCGUUCCCACUGCACGCUCUUGGGGGGUGAGGGCAUGGCUCCUCCAAGGUCCCUGCCGGGCUCUGUGCAUGUCAGUACCCAGCAGGGCUGGUAAGACUGCUAGCGUAGGGGCUCCAAAGAACCGAUUGUGAACCCCUUGUGGGCUGGGGUCUGUCUGGCUUGUUCAGUGUUGAGCGUAGGAUCAGUGCGUAGUGUGUGUUGAUCAACUUCCCCAAAGCAUGCUUGUGGGUUCUCUGGCUACUGCCAAGAGGCAGGUAACCGGCCGAGGGUCUGCCCAGGGUGGGGGGCCCUGCCCGUGGUAGACAGUGGCUCUGCUACUCCUUCCCGGCGCCGCUGCCACACCGCUGUGGUGGGCUUCUGCGUGUCUGGACUGUGUCCCAUAGCACAUGGCUCCCCGGACAAAUUUCUUUCCACCCCGACUCGCCCAGGCUGCCCUCCAGUAGUCCCUAGGGUGGAGGGCUUGCUGCUGUGUCCCUUCCCUGGCUCCUCUUCACCACCCGGCCUCGCCUUCUCUCAUCAUCUACGGGAGAACGCGGUGUCCGAGCCUCUAAUCCCUGGCCCCGGGUGUGCCCUUGAACUUUACUUUUAAACAAAGCUUCCCGACCCCAGCAGCGCUUGGGUCACAUUCCCAGAGAGCCUGCAGAUGGGGGCCGAGUCUGUUUAUUUUCUAAGAUUUCAGAAAACAUGCCUUUUUUCCCUCCUCUGACCUUAAACAAAACUUUUUUUUCCCCCUCCGACACUUGUAUUUUUAACCUCAUGAGAAAAUACGGUACGGGAGCAGAUUUUAUUUUCAGAAACCGUCAUUCUUCAAGAUUUUCAAAAUUAAAAUAAAACAAGCUUGGGGGUAGACGAGAGUAAGGAAGGGUACUUUUCGGUUUUGGUGCUGGAGUGGGGGAGGGGAAGGCUCCCUAGAGCUGUUUUCUGCCCAGCCCCCGUGUCUGUGACCGGUGCUGGACUUCUUCCGGAAGUUUCUGCACGUGGAGCCUGCAGCGACUUAGUUGUUAUUGUGAGCACCUUUUCCUCUCCUGCAGACUGGGACUGACUGGGCCCACCGAGGGCCCUGUACAAGCCCUUCCCUCCCACACAGGAAGUGCCAGUGCCUUCUCUUUAGGGGAGGGCACUGUGGGCUGGGUGGGCCACAGUAACUGCCCUGCUCAAGGCCCUCCUCCCACGGUGGGGGUCACGAGAUGCUGCAGUCCGGGGACGUUUGCUAGCCCUGAAUUCUCAUCUGGGUCACAGGAGCUGAGGCCCAGAGAGGUGGGCGACUUGGGCAAAGUCACCUGCCACUCAGACAGUAGUGCCUGGUGAGGGGCGGGCCUCAGGCUCUCCUGGUCCUGGUGCUGGCUGCUCCCCGUGGCCCAGCCAUAGCUGACCAGUGGCUUUCAGCACCAGCUCCCUCUGGCUCCCCAGUACUCUUGUUCUCAGUUUGUACAACACCCCCUCCUCCAUUUCUUUGCUCAGCCCCCAGCGGGGGUCAUGCAGCACAGACAUCUAAGUUUCAGUGUUCUUCUAGAAUGGAAAAACUGGCAUUUUGAGCAAGUCCUUAUUGAUUGACAGCAGCCACAAAAGAGACAGAAAACCCAGUCACUGCUUAAGUAGUGCAGUUCAGCGGGAACCCAGCAGCUGACCAGCUCCUUCUUACUGCCUCCGCCCCUUCCCACCACUCUUUCCCCUUCCCUCGCCUUGCUGCUCCGCCUGGUCCAGCCCAGUCCUCCUCUCACCUGGCUUGUGCAGCAGUCCCCGAAACACCUCCUCUCCCGGUCUUGCCCCUGUCAUGAUGGUUCUCAGACCUGCGUCUGGCCAGUCUCCCUUCCCUGACCUGGCUCCAGCCUCUGCCUGUGGCCCUCACCCAGGGCCACAGCCCCCGAAGCCCUCCUCUGUGCCGCAACCACCUGCUCGUCCUUGCGAGGCCUGCAGAGAUGUCCCUCCUCCUGGGAGCCCUCCUGUUGCUGUGGAUUCGUUCUGAGAGGAGCGUGGGGGGGCAAGAGGCACAGAGUCACCACACAGACCCAGGGAGCAGGUGAAAGCAGCCCAGAGCCGAGCGGCCGCAGACUCGUUUAUUUCAGUUGGUACAGCAGCUUAUAUAGCUGAGGCAGCCAAUCCGGUCAAAGGGUGGUUUAUGCCCUAACCAAUCACAACCAAUUGCCAGGCAGGCUCUGUUGCUGGGUGGGUUCUGAAGCCAUUCCUGAGUAACUGACGCUGGCUUGCCAGCGGCCAUCUUGGCAUGACCUUCUCAUUCCACCACAGCCUCCAGGCUCCUUGAGCAUGGCUUUCCCUUCCGAGCUUCUGCAGCUUCAGUUCCUGGGGGCCCGGCACCCCUCAUGUGGAGACCCGGUCUUCCCUCACUUGGCUAUCUCCUGGGCUGGGCUGCUCUGGGGAGGGCCUGUGCCUGACCCUUUGAUGUGGCAGAGAUGUAGGAAGACUCCUGGGGUCUCACAAAGCACCAGAGAUUUGGCAGGAAGCUCAGUGAAGUCUGUGCCUCUUCUUAGCCACUCCCAGGGUCAGUGUCCAGCCCGGCGUUGGCAUCGAGGUAGUAACAGGUGUCUGGGCACAGGCUCCCUCUGGCCACCAGCAGGACCGUGUGUUGAGUCCAGAGCUGGUAUGACAGUGGCUGUGGGGUCCUGUGGCCAUGGAGCUGCUUCCUAGAGCCAGGAAGGAACUGUCUCUCUUUUAGAUUUAUUGUAUUUAUUUGAAAGAGUUACAGAAAAAGGUCGAGACACAGAGAGAGAUCUUCCAUCCACUGCUUCACUUCCCAACUGCUGGAGCUGAGCUGAUCUGAAGCUAGGAGCCAGGAGCUUCUACUGGGUGCAGGGGCCCAAGGACUUGGGCCAUUCUAUGCUGCUUUCCCAGCCCAUAGCAGAGAGCUGGAUCAGAAAUAGAGCAGCCGGGAUUGAAACCAGCACCCAUAUGGGAUGUUGACGCUGCAGGUGAGGGCUUUAACCCACUGUGCCACAGUGCUGGCCCCAGAGCUGUCUCCUCGGGCUGCUGUCUCUUCUUCCUCCCCCUUCUCCACCUCCCCUCCUCCUUCAUCUGCAUCUGCUGCCUUGGCCUCAUGGGGAUCGGCCCCCUGCUCAUCUGCUCAUUGUUUUGGGGUUGCUGCCUUGGGCAGGUUGCUAUUUUGGGGCUUCCAGAGAAUCUUAAAAACAAACCAACAAAAAUCAUUCCACCCCACACCUGGAUCUGACCGUCAGGGAGUAAGAACAUUUUGAAGCUGUACAUGAGCUUAACAUCACCGUGUGCAGGACAGGGUAGGGUGUGGGGUGGGCUCUCCAGUGACAUGGACUCGGUAGCUUACAAAGCGCCUUAUGUUUUUUAAAUAAAGAUUCAUUAAUUUAUUUAAAAGAGUUAGGGAGAGAGAGAGAAAGACCUUCCUUCUGCUGGAUUACUCCCCAGACGGCCAAAACAGCCAGUGCUGGGCUAGGCUGAAGCCAGGAGCCAGGAGUUUCUUCGGGGUCUCCCUCACAGGUGCAGGGCCCAUCUUCUGCUGCUUUCCCAGGCCAUAGCAGAGAGCUGGAUUGGCAGUGGAGCAGCCGGGACUCACACUGGCACCUAUAUGGAAUGCUGGGGCUGCGGGUGGCGGCUUUACCUGCUGCGCCACAGCGCUGGUCCAUCCAUGGUGGCUCUGGGCGUGGACACUGGGCUGACUCUGUGCUAAGCUUUGAGAUCUCUCAGCAUCAUGGCAAGCAUCAUGACUCCGUUUCCCAAAGGAACCGAGGCCCAAAGAAGCUGUGUUUAAGCUGCUCCUUGAGGCGUGUGGCCAGGAAGCGGCUGAGUGUGCGAGUGGCCUCCUCUGUCCUUUGACUCUAUGGAAGCCUUGAGAAACCAGUGCGGGACUUUCUUUUUUUAACCUCCCAUUUAACAGGUAAGAAGACAGCCCGCAGAGUCAUACAGAGGCGCUUCUGCCUGCACCCAGGCUGCUGAGUUCUGAUCCGCGUGCUUUCCCUGGCCGGUCCUACUCGGGCUCUGCUCCCUGGCGGGGUGGAAGCUGGGGUGCAAGCUUGACCCUCAGUGGCGGAGCAGCACUGGGGUUACAGCUGGUGCUCGGGGUGUUGAGAUCUCGCCAUGCCACCCCUUGGCCUGCUGGUGGUCUUUGCCCAUGGGCGUUGGCAGGUCCGUUCAUGUCCACUCUCCAGUGCCAGGUGUCUUUCCGGGGAGAGUGGGCAGUGUGCAUCUCUGUACCUCCCGCUCUUCCAGGUCGACCUUGUGCCCACCUCCUUGCUGCCUGCAAGAUUCUCCAGUGGUGUGGAUAGGAGCAGAUGGUGGCCUGGAAUCCAGGGCCAUCCAACCUCUCCAAGGCAGCAGUGAGCUGCCCCAUCCCUCUGGUGGUCUCUGCAGGGGGUACCCUGGUCAGGAGUGGGAACUCUCCUUUCUUGAGAUGUUAAGCCUGAUGCAGACACCCAUAGAUGCGGGAGCCAGCGUGAGUCUGUAACACCUGCCCAACCCCCGGGGACGGGAAGCUGAGCCCUCUGCUUUGUGGUGCUGGGGAAAGGCUGAGACCCGGGGCUGCAGCAGUGCGGACACUCAGCCUCGCCAGCUGCUUUUGGGGUGGGCGUGUGUGGCCUGGGCAUUUGCUGCAGACCCCUCCUUGGGGCAGAAAGGGGCACCUGGGCCUGGGUGAGAGGUGUGUGUAGGACUGAGCAAGCCUUGCACAGAGCCAGGUUCGAAUCCCCACUCUGCCGUUUGGCCGCAAUUCUGAACCUUUCCUGGUCACGAUUUCUCUGUAAGGUGAGACUGUGCCCACUUAUAAGUGCCCUGUGGGGUCCAGCCUUGCCCAGGAGGUGCUCUGGACGUGAGGAGCAGGCGCCCUUUGCCCCAGCCAGGACCCAGGAGUUCGAGUGAGUUGCUGGGCACUGUGGAAUGUUUGGAUUCGGAAAGGAGCUUUUCCAGGCCAGUGUUGUCCUGACGGGUCCUCCUCCGGCCCCUGCUAGGCCUGACUGCUGGGUUCUCCCCUCCCAGUGCUCUGUUCUCAAGAGAUGGCCGGGGCUUCAGGGCCGGGCACAGGCUGGCAGAGGCAACAGAGCAAGCUGUCGGGGCUCGGAUCCAGCCUCCUCCACGUGGCCAGGCCACUUCUCUUGCCCGCAGGCCUGAGGUGGACAGGUGGGAGAGAGGCCAAGAUGACGAUUUCUAGAACUUAGGAGGCUGCAGGCCAGGGGCUGGCACAGCAUGGUCCAAGGCCAAAUCUGACCUGCUGCUGUUUUUGUAAGUAAGGUUUUAUUGGAAUUCAGCCGUGCCCAUGUGCACGUCAUCUCCAGUGCUCCUGCUCUGCAGUGGCAGAGUUCAGUGGCCUGGCAGGGACGCCUGGUCUGCAAAGGUGAGGCCAUUUACAGAAAGAGGUUGCUACCCCUGACGGGGACCAUGCACAUCUCAAGGGCGGAAGCCACUCAGCCGGGAGUGUCCUCCUGUCCUCCUUUGCUGGAUGACCUGCUUAUGCCGUAUGGGAGGGCCUGGACUCAACUCUGGGCUGGACACCCAGUAGAUUAGUUUAUUAGUGGAAUAAAUAAGGGGAAAACCUAUUAGUAUGAUCUGAGUUUCAAGGAAUAAAAAAUGACCAGUGGUUUAAACAAUAACAAAUGUCUAUCAUCCCAUGUAAGAAAUCUGCAGCUGUGUGGCCCCAGGACCCACUCUGUAGCUCAGCAGGGCCAUCAAAGAGGACCCAGGCUGUCCCCUUCUUUCUCUACCAACAUCCUCAACAUAUUGACUUGGUCCUCAAACUUUUUUCCUCUUGUGACAAAAUGGCUGCCACAGUCCCAGUCAUCACAUCUAGUACUGUUAAGACAUUCAGCUGAAAAAGGGCUUUCUCUCUUUUCAUCUGUGAGGAAUGGAGUCCUUUCCCAAAGUUCCCCAGCUUUGGGAUUCCCCCCGUCCUGCCGUCCAGGACCGGCACUCGGCACCUGCCCUCACUGCAGGGGGCACUGUUUCUGACUCCACAGUUAGGAGCGGGCCCUGUCUACAAGGAUUAAAGGCAAGGGAAGCACUCGCCGUUGGAUGAGCACUGUUUGAAGUCUGCCACAAGGCUCCACUGCAGAAGGAAGAGGGGCUGUGUGGCUCUGGCCGGAACGGCAGGGUCGGCAGGGAAAGCUUCCCGGAGGAGGGCCUGGGGCCACUGCUGGAAGGCCGGGUGGUGACAGAGGAUGCCCGGCCUCUGGCGGAUUCCGGCUGCUGAGGGGAACAGUUGCCACGGUUGCAGGCACAGCUCUCACAGGGAUAGGGUUUGAACAGGAUUUGGCUCCUGACUACGCUGAUGUUUAAAUCCCAAAUGGCACUCCAAUAGCACACAGAGGGUGGAGGCUUGAUCUAGUUACGGUGUCGGCGGGUGGGGCUUUGGCAAGUGAUGGAUUAGGCUGCCGGGGCAGAGCCCACGGCUGGCUCCCGGUGGUUCUGUAAGGAGAGUCCACAGAUUCAAGAUGGGGUACAGCCCCGUCUCUGCCUCCUGCUUGCGCCAUGAUCUCUCCCCUGCACACCUCUCAGCCACCGUCCCCCCCAGACUGCAGACCUGCAAGGCUGUGAGAGCGACACGCCAUGUUCCCUCCUGAGUGGCCCUGGACCCCUUCAGUCCUGGCAAUGAAAAGCUGAUGGAUGCACACGGGUUUGUGUAUUUUUUUUUCCUCCUAGAAUCAGUUUUUCAUCCCUCUUCCUGUAGGUUCCUUAGAACAACCCUUAAGGGAGGUUAUAAAUCUUGUCUUCAUUUCACAGACAAGUGAAGUGGCUUGUCCACAGACAGCUAGUGCUGGGGCCAGAGCUUGCGACUGUCUGAGUCAGGUGCAGGGCCAACUCCAGUGGCCCGGCACAGAAGCACACGGGAGCACCCACGCCCAGCUGCCCAGUCUGCGAACACUUGCUGCUGACCUGGCACCUGUGGUCCCCGCUGGGGCUGGCAGCUCCUAACAGCAAGGCAGGUGCAGGGUCAUCUGGGAUAGGGAUUUAGGGGCGUGGGUAUGUCUGAGCACCUGGGGGCCAGCCAGGCAGGAGAGAGGGUCAGGGAGCACUGUGCAAAGGGACUUCCAGGGGGCUGGCCUGUGGCGUAGUGGGCUGGUCUGUGACCUACAAUGCCGACGCCCACACAAGCAGCUCCAUUUCUGUUCCAGCUCCCUGCUGAUGCCCCUGCCUGCCCACGUGGGAGACCUAGAUGGAGUCCCAGGCUCCUGGCUUCGGCCUGGCUGAGCCCUGGGCAUUGUGGCCAUUUGGGUAGUGCACCAGUAGAUGGAAGAUCUCUCUGUCUCUCCUCUUUCUCUAAUUCUGCCUUUCAAAUAAAUUUUAAACAAAAAAAAAAACAAAAAAACAAGGGACUCCUGGGGGACUUGGUGUCCCAGUGCUUAGUUGUUCUGCACACUGCGGGCAGGCGGGCAGCAGUGGGGCGCUGCGUGGGCCCAGCCCCUACGCGAGAUUGGUCCAGAAUAGAAGCUGCUGGACGGAGACCAGCUCUUUCUCCAGUGCGGUGAGAAGAGCCGGUGUGAUGACACUGCAGCGUUGGCUAUGGACAGGGCCUCGCGUCUACCGGGUGUUCCAUAAAUGAUAGCACAGUCCUGUCACCGUCAGCGUCGUCAUCCUUGUCAUGCUCAGUGUCACCGCCCCCUCGGUUGCAGAGGCAGAGCCCCGGCAGCCUGGAGGGGGCGAGGAACCUGGCUGCCUGCUUCGCAGAGGGCAGGCGUCUGGCUCUGGCCCGCUGCUCUCGCACAGGACUGCCUGGCGGAACCCAGCAGGAGCGUUCUCACCUGGUGGUCUCACAGCGGCAGGAAAGCAGUAGAAGAUGGCCCAAGUACCAGGGCCCCUGCAUCCACGUGGGAAACCUGGAAGAAGCUCCUGGCUCCUGGCUUUGGAUCAGCCCAGCUCCAGCUGUUGCAGCCACCUGGGGAGUGAACCAGCAGAUGAAAGAUCUCUCUGUCUCUUCCUCUGCCUCUCUGUAACUCUGACUUUCAAAUAAAUAAAUAAAUCUUUAAAAAAAAAGUGGUUGCAUCCACUUCCAGUGCCUCUGGGGCCCCAUCCCCACCACCCCUGCCGUGGCUCCAGGCCUUCCUUCUCCCUUGCCAAGCUUGGUUGUGUCCAGCCUUGCUGUCCCGUCUCUCAGCCUUUGCUAUACUGUUCCUCCUGGCAGGAAUGCGCUUUACCCCUGUCACACACCUCACGCCCUCCCAUUCUUGCCAAACUUCCCUCUCUGAGCACCCCUGCUGGCCCCCACACUCCUGCCACCCCCCUGUGGCCUGACCUCCUACAGGCUGGCAUGUCCAUCUGACCCCACCACCUGGGAGUGCAGGGGCCAGGCCUUGGUACCUUUUUCAUCACGGAAGUUCGGUUGAGCAUUUUAUUUAUUUUUUUAAUUAAUUAAUUUAUUUGAAAGGCAGAGGCAGAGACAGAGAGAGAGAGAGGUCUUCCCUCCACUGUUUCACUCCCCAGAUGGCAAAAAUGGCCAAAGCUGAGCUGAUCAGGAGCUGCUUCUGGGUCUCCCACAUGGGUGAAGGGGCCCAAGCACUUGGGCCAUCUUCUACUCCCUUCUCAGGCCAUAGCAGAGAGCUGGAUCUGAAGUGGAACAGCCAGGACUUGAACCGGUGCCCAUAUGGGAUGCUGGCAUCACAGGGAGCAGCUUAAUCCAUACCCCAUAGCUCCGGCUCCUCCAUUGUCAUCUCAAAACCCAGAAGAGGUGUUUGUCGACUGACGGAAUGGAUAGUAGGUGGAUAUUGGAGUAGGUUUGGCAGACUGAGUGUGGGGCCUUGGACUUCUCUUUGACACCAGAGGCAGACAGCAGAAGCCGGCGUCUCCCCACAGAGCCUUGUGUGAGUCUAGUUCCCCGGUUCCCAAACUGGUAACCAAGCUGGGAAUCCGACUCUCAGGUUCUGGGUGGGGCCCCUGGGGGAGCCCUGGAGGACCCUCGUGGGAGAGCUGAAUAUCAAGGUGUAGUUCAAGCCCGCGCUGAUGGGCGGGGCGCUGGGAUGGGGGAGGAGAGGAGCGGCUUGCUGCCACCUCGGUUUUGCCGUGUUGGAGCAGGCACGGGACACCGGGCUUUGCACGGUGCACGGAUCCCCUAGGUGGGCAGGUGCCUCGAGGGGAGGUAGCCCUGGUCCCUGCGGUGUGCCCGGGUGCACUGGGGAGGUAGCCCUGGUCCCUGCGGUGUGCCCGGGUGCACUGGGGAGGUAGCCCUGGUCCCUGCGGUGUGCCUGGGUGCACUGGGGAGGUAGCCCUGGUCCCUGCGGUGUGCCCGGGUGCACUGGGGAGGUAGCCCUGGUCCCUUUGGUGUGCCCGGGUGCACUGGGGAGGUAGCCCUGGUCCCUGUGGUGUGCCCGGGUGCACUGCAGUGAGCAGCCUGCUGUAGAGGCUCAGUCGCUGCGAGUUUGGAUUUUUUUCUUUGAACCCCAGUCAUCAUUAUCCCCAAAGAAUAUUGCUGGUGAAUGGAAGAAUGCGUGUGUCCUGGGAGCCUGGGUGCCACCGCACCCCAUUUUUACAAGAACUGGCAAAUGUAUUUUUAAAAUUGAGAGGUGCACAGGAAGCAGGCCUGCAGGGAAAGAGAAAAGAAGUCUUCUGUGCGUUGGGGUGUGAAGUUGACCUUGGCCCGCGGUUUCCUGUAGGACCCGCCCUGGGGCUUGGGCCUCUGUCCAGCUCAGUGGGUCCGUGCUGCUAGUAGUUUCUCACCCACCGGAGGGCGACUUGGAAAGAGGCAAAGCAAGGCUUUGAGGAAGCCGGGGGAGUGACUAGUGUGCUAUGGCUGUGGGUCACGGUGAUGGCGAUGGUAAAGGCUGGAGAGCAGCGUCCAUGGGCAGUGGGUAGAGGGCAGGGGUGCCCCCUUGAUGUCUAUGCAUGGUCCUGGGCAAGAAGGCCAGUUUGCCCUGGUCCCCUCAACAGUAGGAGAUUUUCCCACUGCCCUUCGCUGCCAAGGAGUCGAUAGCACCUGUGUUCUAAGACGUGCAAGCUGGAGGCUUGCAGGGGACGCCAGCUGGUUAUUAGGGGGUGCUGGCCACACAGGGAAGUGGACAUUCUGCUGGAAGCGUUUGACAAAGCGCACACUUUGUGGAACCCCUGACAAGAAACCGAGCAGGACCAGCACCCAGGGGCCCCUGGGACCCCAUGGUGGCUCCAUUGCCCUGGGGUUUGCCUCCUUGGAACCCCUGUGCGGCUGGAGUCAGGCGACGUGUGCCCUUCUGCAUCUGGCUGUGCCACUCACGCUGUCUCUGUCAUCAUGCAGGCCACUGUCCCGCACUUGAGUCUGUGUUCAUGGAAACCCCAGGGAGUCCAGGGAGGGGGUGUUUCCUGGGGUACACAGAGCAGGAAGCCCAGACUUGGGGCACCCCCGAGGUGGCCCCGUGUCGGUGGUGAAGGGAUGCCAGGCUCUCCAAGUGCACCUGCUUCCUAGGCUCCCUGCCUCCCUGCUGUGCUGUGGCUUUCAAAUUGUGAACCCAGCCAGAAACCUCCAGCGGGCUUGCCUUUGUGGGGCACGUGGUCUGAGGCUGGCAUGAGGGUGGCCUUUUCCUGGGGCCUCGUGUUGAGGUGACACCCUAAGGAGCACGGGGGCUGCUCUGUCCUCACAAAACGCUGUCAGGCCUCUGCAAGGCAGGCUGUUCUCCGGGGCUGUGAAGCCCACAUGCCUGACCAGUGGGAGCCAUGGAUUGUUCUAUGACUUGGCUACUCCAUUCUCUUUCUUUAUUUUUUUUUUUUUUAAAUUUUACAUAGGGGUUGGCACUGUGGUGUAGCAGGUAAAGUGGCCACCUGCAGUGCUGGCAACCCAUAUGGGCACUGGUUCAAGUCCCGGCUGCUCCACUUCCAAUCCAGCUCUCUGCUAUGGACUGGGAAAGCAGUAGAAGGUGGCUCAAGUCCUUGGGUCCCUGCACCUGCAUGGGAGACCUGGAAGAAGCUCCUGGCUCCUGGCUUUGGUUCAGCUCAGCUCCAGCUGUUGCAGCCAAUUGGGGAAUGAACCAGUGGAUGGAAGACCUCUCUCUCUCUGCCUCUCCUCCCUGUGUGUAAUUCUGAUUUUCAAAUAAAUAAAUAAAUCUUUUAAAAAAUUUUUGAGAGAGAGAGAGAGAGAGAAACAACCCCCCCCCCUUUUUGUUUGACAGGCAGAGUGGACAGUGAGAGAGAGAGACAGACAUUUUUUUUCUUUUCUUUUCUUUUCUUUUCUUUUCUUUUUUUUUUUUUUUUUUUUUGGACAGAGAAACACCCCUCUCAUCUGCUGGUUCAUUCCCCAAAUGCCUGGGAGCCAGGAACCCCAACCAGGUCACCCAUGUGGAUGGCAAGGACCCAAGUAUGUGGGCCAUCAUCUGCAGCUCCCAGGCGCACUAGUAGGAAGGUGGUUUGGAAAUGAGGUGGGGCUUGAUCCCGGCGUUCCAGUACUUGAUGGUGGGUGUUCCCAGCAGUGGUUUAGCCCACUGCACCACUGUAAAUGGGACCGACUGCACCAGCAAACUGUUCAUAACUCCGGUUUUUAUUUGGGGGGAGGGAGGGCGGGACACUAAAGGUCCAGCACCCUCUUGCUCCUGGCAUGGCCCUGUCUGCGAGUGGGUUGCAGCUGAAGGACAUGCUGGACGGGGUGACUGGAGUGCACCUGUGGAGGUGGCUCUGGGACACGUCCUGGCUGGCAGCUGCUGGGGAAGUGACUUGAUCCGCUGGGAGGGAUGUCUCCCUGCCCCAGAAACUGUCCAUGGCUCUGCUUGGAACUUGUUGGCUUACUGGCCCGCUCCUGGGCUUUCUAAAUCCCACUGCAGUGUUUUCUUGUUUCCUUACAGCACUUCCCCACUGCCUGUUUCUGUGCCAGACAUUACUAAUCCAUUGUGAGACUCCUACCCAUUGAUCCCGCACCCUGCUUUGAGUUCCAGAACUCUAGGAGCCACUCCGUCUGGUUGGAGCUCAUUUACUUCAUUCAUGUGUUUUGACAUUGCAGCCCUGAGAGUAAAGUGAGUAGAGUGGAACCCCACUUUCUCCUGAGAUUUGAUUUCUUGUGGAAGGGCUGGACGUGAAGGAAAGAUGUGUCCCCCCAUUGUUAUCUAGCUGGGUGAUUUUGUAUUUUUCCUUUUAGUUUCUAUUUUUCUUUUAAAGAUUUUAUUUUAUUUGAAAGGCACAAUUGCAGAGAUAGGGUUGGUUCACUCCCCAGUUGGCCGCAACAGCCGGAGCUGCGCCAAUCCGGAGCCAGGAGCCAGGAGCCAGGGACCAGGAGCUUUUUCUGGGUCUCUCAUGUGGGUGCAGGGGCCCAAGGACUUGAGCCAUUUUCUGCUGCUUUCCCAGGCAUAGCAAAGAGCUGGAUCAGAAGUGGAGCAGCCGGGACUCAAACUGGUGCAUAUGUGGGAUGCCAGCAUUGCAGGCAAUGGCUGAAUCUGCUAUGCCACAGUGCUGGCCCCUUAAAACUGUUUUGAUUAACAUCUAAUACUUGUCCAUUUUUUGUGAGGUACUGUGCGGUAUUUCAACACAUGUAUACAGCAUGAACCGGUCCCGUCAGGCACCUGGCAUUUCCUUUUCCAUAUCUCUUUUCUUUGUGUUUGGAGCCUACCAGCUGCUGCCCUCUGGUUCUGUGACAGUUUUGGAGCAGUCACUGUGUCCUGGUCCCUUUGCCUCUGCAGAGGGGUGACUGGGGGCUGGCGGGGGCUGUCCUGUCCAGGAGGAGGUGUGUACACAGGAGCCGGCCGUCUUCAGGUGUCAUUUGCUGCUUUCAGAGCAAUAUUUUCCAGGAGACUUGAAGUUUGUCAAGCAAAUACCUGGGCUCCCAGCCUGUGGGGGUCUCACACUCACAGGUUGCUAGGGGAGUCCCCAGAAUAUAUGCAAGAGGUAGGGCAUGACUUUGUGCGCAUCCCACUUGUGUCUCCUUGGGUGACACCCCUUUUCAGGAGGGUUCCCAGCGGCAGGGGCACUCUCCUUGCACCGGGUUUGGGGGUGGUGGUGCUCUGUGCUCUGCACGUUUCUUCCCUACACCAUUCCUGCCUCUGCUCGCCGGAACUGCCUGCUCCUUUUACCACGGCGGUGCUGGGCAGAGAGUGGGCUUGGAGGUGUCUGGGAGGUGGCAGCUCAGCUCUCACUUCCACGUUUGGUACCUGUCACCCAGUGCACCUUCCAAGUGCAGCUUGACUGGCCGGCCAGGUGCACCAGGCCUCAACCCAGCCUUGCUGGGCGUUUGCACCUACGCAUAAUCUGAACGUGACUACUCCGCGGGACCAGAAGGCAGCCAGGCGCUCAGGAGUGGGCGGCCUCUCGGGAUCCUUCCACACAGGGAUCCUGGGGGCCCCAGGGUGCCUGGCAGCCCCACCUGCCCCGCUGCUGUGUGUGGGUGCCGCCACUCGGGCAAAGGUUGUUCUGUUGAGAGCAUCUGCCCCCUUUCUCCUUCUCCGGUCGCCCCAGCAACCGUCGCCCGAGGCAGUGAAGAAAGGGGAUUUAGAGAUCCCUGGAUCCAGCCCUGGGCAUUUUACAACAGGGGUGGGGGCACCCGGAGGAUCUGUGACCUUCCUGAGUGCACAGGGCGUAGGAGGUGAACACGUGUGCGUAUGGAGGGCUCCCUAUGCACUGAGUGACCAGGGCAGGUGCAGUUGGCAGGGUUGGUGGCCUGAGAGUAGACCAGUAAGCAAGCAAGAUCAUGUUCUGUGAGUAAGUAAACACCUGAGAAACAGGUGAGGGCCUGGUGCUGUGGCACAGUUGGAUAAAAGCCAGCGCCUGCAAUGCCGGCAUCCCAUAUGGGUGCUGGUUUGAGUCCCAGAUGUUCUGCUUCCAAUCCAGCUCCAUGCUAAUGGCCUGGGAAGGGCAGCAGAGGAUGGCCCAAGUGCUUGGGCCCCUGUACCACAUGGGAGACCCGGAUAAAGCUCCUGGCUCCUGGCUUUGGUGUGACCCAGCCCCGGCCAUUGCGACCAUGUGGGGAAUGAGCCAGUGUAUGGAGGAUCUCUCUCUCUCUCCCUCUCUCUUUCUCUCUCUGACUUUCAAAUAAAUAAUAAAUAAAUCUCAAAAAAAAAAGAAGUAAAGAAAUGGAUGAGCUCCUUUCUAUUGGUGUGACUUCUGUGAAGGCUAUGGAGGCCGCAGGCUGGGAGAGGGUGGGACGCGCUGUGUGGGUGCAGGGGCCCUGGGAGCCGUGUGUGGGCAGGGGUGAGAGUCUGCAGGCCCUGCUGAGCAAAGGCUGGGAGGUGACGCAAGCUACUGGGCUGGAGGCAGCUGGUACAGGCCUGGUGUGCGUGUGUGUACACGUGUACAUGUGUGUACAUGUGUGUGUACAUGUGUGUGUACAUGUGGGGGGCAUGAGAGGCAGAUGCGGCCCAUUGUGUGAGGUGUUUGGAUCUCACUCUAAGCUUUCUGGGAAGUCACUGGAGGAUUUUAAGUGAGAGAUUUCCCUGGUUUGAUUUGGGUGUGAGUGACCCCGCUUUGAAGGGUGCAAGAGUGGAGGUGGGAGAGUGACGAGGCUGGCCUGGUCCAGGGAGACAGGAGGGCACAGAAGCGUGUCUCUCCGCGGAGCCCACAGAUGUGGGGUAGACCCAGUGUGGAAUGGGAGGGCAGGCAAAGAGGAGGAUUGCAGUGUCUCCAGCGUUGGGUGGCAAGGCUCCUGUGCUGGACCCUCUCACAGCUUGGUGUCCCCACCCCGCCAAGCACCGGGCCUGCUGGCCCCGUGGUCACCCAGGAGGGCUGACUCCCUGGCCUUUUUAGAUCCAGAAGGCAGAGGGACGUGGUGUUACCUGGAACUGGGGAUGUCGGAGCGCUCAGAGCUUGGCCUUCAUCCUGACUGCUUCUAGUGUCCUGGCGACAGCACAGAUGUGAGCCAGAGCCCACAGUGGGCAGGGCUGAUGGACGCGCAGGGCAUCAGGGUGCUGGGGAAGGUGUGGGGCUGACGUGAUGGAGGUGCACACUGCCAGGGGUUGUACGUUCCUGGGCCACGAGUCGGUGCGCUUCUGCUGUUACCUCGGGCAACCCUGGGCCGCAGAGUGGAUGUUCCUGUCCCCACUUCCUACAUGCGGAAACGGGGGCUUGAAGAGUGUUUGGCCUAAGGUUUCCCAGCUAGGGAGUGGCUGAGCUCAGCAUAGGGCUCUGACUCCAGACUCACUAAGUCCUAAGGGGCACUCAGCAUUGUUGCCGGUGUACCACGCUGUCCUCCAAAUCUAGGGGUGGGGACGUUAGCCCCAGAGGUGCCCAUCCAGAUCUAGGGGUGGGGGCGUUAGCACCAGAGGUGCUCCGCGUGGUAGGCCAGGACCCCGGGCAGUUUGCAGAAAAAGCAGCUGCUCUCCUGGUGGGCGGUGCUGGGGCCACUCCCCCCCUUUUCUUUCAUCCUGCUCUCCCCCUGCCCUUUCUUUCCAUCUUGCCCCCCAAGUUUUCCUUUUGCCCACACCCCUUUCCAGAAAAAUCACCAAAAAGGCUGGCUGCCGGGGCUCGGGCCCUGUGAGAGCUGCAAGGGUGGAGCCUUCUCUGGCAGGUGCAGGGCCCCACCUGACCCAGCUCUACCGGACUUCCUGCCAGUGACUGGGGAGCAUGGCGCCUUCGUAGGGUUUGGGCACACUGGAAGGACGCGCCUGGGGGUGAGGAUGAAGGUCACACCAGGAGGGGUUGUGCAGCUUCCUCUUAGCAGGCGGGGCAGUGACAGGAAAGGAUAGAAAGUGCCCACUUUUUCCAUUUCUCGCGUCUUGUGCCCUGGACUGACAGGACGCUGGACCCUGGGACUGAGCCAGUGGGCUGUGGUCGCCCCCACCACUGCCCCUGCCAAAUGUAAACGUGUGGGGUGGGGAUCCCUCCUGCUCUAUUCCGUGUUUCCCAGCCUUCGCGCCCGCGUGGCCCCAUCAGUAUCGUGAGUGAGUGAAUGAGUGAAAUGAAUGAGUAAAAUGAAUGAGUGAAUGAGCUGCGCUGGUCUCCCUCGGCCUGUGCCGUGCAUUGCAGUGGCCGUGAGCCAUGUGUGGCCGUGGAGACGUGAGAUGUGGAAGUUCUUAACGGAGCUGUGCUGGGCGGUACAAUAUACGUGGGACUUCAACGACCCUGUGAAAAACGGUGCACUGUCCCUUUAGUAGUUUUUCCUACUGACCACGUGUUGAAAUGAUACUAUUUUGGAUAUAUUGAGUGACAUAAAGUGCGCUGUCAAACUGGUGGCUUCCUCCCCUCCCCCUUGCUGUUGUGUGGUAAUGGGCACAUGAUGUCGGGUUUCCCAGAAGGCUGCAUUGUUUCCGUCGGGUGGCGCUGCCCCGCUCUGAGGGCGGUCUUUCUAGGGUUAGAAUCCUUUCUCUGCUGUGGCCAGGGAGUGCAGUGGAGGAUGGCCCAAGUACUUGGGCCCUGCACCCCAUGGGAGACCAGGAUAAGUACCUGGCUCCUGCCUUCAGAUCAGUGCGGUGGCCGCAGUGGCCAUUGGAGGGUGAACCAACAGCAAAAGGAAGACCUUUCUCUCUGUCUCUCUCUCACUGUCCACUCUGCCUGUCAAAAAAAAAAAAAAAAAAAAGAAUCCCAGCUGGCCCAUUCCCAGCUGUGCUACCCAAAGCAGGACUCUGGGUCUCAGUUUCCUCGUCUCUGAAACAGGGCUAAGGAGGUAGACCUCACAGAGCUGGGCCCACAGAUGGGAGCAGACAGAGGAGCCCUGUGUGCAUCAGCCCCUCUGUCUCUCAAGGGGAAGGCUGUGACCUCGGGGGUCCGGGGUCAGACCCACGUGGGAGCCAUGCUCUGGGGACUCAGCAGACAGCAGCAGUGAGCUGCUGCAGGACCGCGGGACUCAAGAGUGAUAAGGUGACCCUGCCGCGAGGAGUUGUGUGAUCCGAAGGCCAGGCUGCGUGGAGGGGCUUCCUCUCGGAGCCACCAGCCUGGGUGGGGCACAGGCAGCAGGGACGGGGGUGGGGGGAGGGAUGGCUGCAACUGGCGCUGCUCCCAUGCCUGCAGCCCCCGGCGCUCCAGGCUCUCACAACCCGGGCAGCCUCUGUGUCAGGGGCAGGCUGUGAGUGCGAGGGUGAGAGAGAGGGUGUGAAUGCCAGUGUGAGAGAGCACGUAGUGUGUGUUUGAGUAUAUAUGUGAGUGCAUGCAGGUGUGCGUGUGAGUGUGUGUGAGUGGGGGGGGGGGCAGGACUUGACCCCAGCUGCAUGCUGGGUGCCCACAUCUCCCUCUGCCAUGGAGCCCAGUAGCAUCAUGGCAGGUAGGGCCAGGACACGUGGCAGGCUGGUAGCCUCCCGUCUUUCUGGAGCACAUUCUCCCAGUGUCCUGGCCCCAGUGUGCAGCUGUCUGCCCUCCGCCUCCUGGUUAGCUGCUCCCUGAGCCUGCUGGGUUCAGGUGCCAAGCACCUCUCAGGGCAGGAGGAAAUGGCUCCUUGCAGCCCACAGGGAGCUGCGCUGAGUACCUUCCCCCUUGCCCAGCUCUGUGGCAGUGGAGGUUCAGAGCGGGGCUCUGCAGCCAGAUGGGCUGGCCUUGUCCAGGGCCCCUGUGUGGCCUGGGUUCCUCUGGUCUUCACAUUCAGGUUGGGGAGGCCUAAGUGGGGCUGGCCUGCGAGAGGCAUUACUGAAUCCCAACACUACUAGGUAGCAUCGUCUCCUUGGCCCCCCUGUCCUGCCCCCCCCCCCCCAACCUGUGUUUUCCAUCUUCAGUGCAUUGCCUGGAAGUUGCAGGAGCCAAGGCACCCAGGGGCUGGGGGCAAGUGCAGUCUGGGGAGGGGGGCGGUGGGCCGGCAGCCCCCAGCCCAGCCCUUGCAGGUCCUGGAGCAGCUGCUACUCGUGGUGGGGGGCGUGGCUGUGGGAAAUGCCCCCAGCCUGCCUGGUGAGCCGGCCCAGGUGUCAGGUGGUGGCAGCACCAGGAGGGCCCGGAUGAAGCUCUCCUGAGCCUUACCUUGCGUUGGGAGGUGAGGGCCUGACUCAGGCCCCCAACAGUCAGCUCCCUGUGCCCUGUGCUCAGGGUCUCCUUGCUUGCAGAAGCUUUGGGAAUGCAUGGCCCCUCCCCUGCCUCCUCCUUUGUCUUCAGGGCAGGGCAGAGGGCACAGAGGAGGUCAGGUUCAUCUCUUGGACACCUGUAUGGAAUGAGCUCCGCAUGGCAGCUUUAGGACAAUGCCUAGGACAGAUGUGAGAGAUGCACCCGGGGCUGCUGGUGCCAGCCCCUGUCCCAGGCACUGAAAGGACAUAAAUCAAGAGGGUGGGGAGGGCAACAUGGAGCCCAAACUCCCGGGCUGCUGGGAGGGAGCCUGGGAAUGAGACACUGAGGCCUGGGGAUGUGUCCAGGUGGGGUGGUGCCUAGGAGGGUGUGUGUGUCAGAGUGCUCUGAGCACCACUGUCAUUUUUGUUCUUUGUAAGCCUUAGGUGUUUCUGAGAGAGAGAGAGAGAGAUUUUACAGGACGCUAUCUGGCAGUGGGAAUGGUACGUGCAAAGGCCCUGAGACAGAAAACGACUUUUCCUAGUGAGGAAGCAGGUGAAGGCUGCACCUUUGCCCUGGAGGCCUCCCUACUUUGGUAUCUUCUCUUUGAAAGGUCUGCUCCAGCUACUUCUGAGCCCACAGAAAAGGCCCGUUCUUGAGCCUCGGGAAGGCCUUUCCAGGCGUGCUAGGUGUCAGCGAGAGUUCUGGUGGGAAGCCUUCUGGGUGUGUCGGCCUCUUUGAUUGGAAGCAGCGGACUCUAGAUGGGUUCUGCCAAGGAUCCGUGGUGACCCUUCUCUUCUUUUGUGGAAGAAUUUGCCUGCUAAACUGGCAACCGGGGGAGCUGAGUCACUGUUGCCCCACUUUCUUACGUCACAGACACCCUGGAACAGGUCCUGGCCUGCAGCACACACACUGCUGUCCGUGAUGGUGACGCCCGUGAGCAGGUUGAGCAUUUACUUCAGCUCUGUGUCCGUGCGUGGCUCUGCUGGCAGUCGCUGAAGCUUGGGCAGGGGUCCGGGCCCCCUGGGAACCUGGGAUGCAGGGUGCGAGCCUCUGAGCUGGUUCAGGUCUUGCUUUCCUGAUGAGGGAGGGGUAGGGCCUCUCCAGACCCAGGUCAUGCAGUGGGGGAGGAGAGCCCCGUCUGCAGCACAGGGCACCCUCUGUUGGCUGUGAACAUGAGGCUCCGCAUCCCUAGCCAAGAGGAGUCCCACUGACUUCUCGUGGGGAAAGAUUGCAUCGUGUCUGCUGCAGGCCUCCGAGCCCGGCGGGCUGGGUGGGAGCUGUGGCUGUGCAGUUCUGGCUGUGGCCGCUGCACCUGCAGGUGCUUCCUGCUGAGUGUUUUGCUGGCGAGUACUUCCCUCUCCCUCCCCGCCCCUGCAGCUUGCUGGCUGCAGCCUCCUCCAACAUCUACUGGGCGCAGGGCUCUGAGAGGUCAGGCUCUGCUAGGAGGUGGUACAAGGGUGCUGGGGGUGAUCUGAUAACAUGCCAUGGGCCUACACCGCUCACCAUGCUAGAUGCUCAACGGGCUUCCGCUCAUCUACUCCUGUUCCGCAACCUUCCAAAGGAGACAAUUGAAGCACAGAGAGAUUGAGUGACUUGAUCACAGUCACACAGCUAGUUAGUGACAUGGCUGGGAUUUGAACCCAGGCCAUCUGGCUAUGGGGUGCACAGUCUUGGGUCGCCCCUGUGGUAGGCUGAAUCAUGGCCUCUCCAGAGAUUCUGAUCUCUGGUGGAAGGGAUUUUUCAGACAUGAUCAAGUUAAGGAUGUGGAGACAGAGUGGCCAUCUUGGAUUGUCUAGGUGGGCCCAGGGUCUUCACAAGCAGGACAGGGGAGCUGGCUGAGGAAUGGAGGUCAGCGGUGCCUCUUGAGAAAGAUGUGACCAGCAACUGCUGAUCACAAAGGUGGAGGAAAGGCCUGGAGCGGGGGAAUGCAGGGGCCGCCAGAGGCUGGAGGGGGUGAGCGUGGAUUCCCCUCUGGAGCCUCCAGAAGCGACCAGCUCUGCCAACACUUUGAUCCCAGCCUGGCGAAUGUGGGUGUAGACCCCAACUUCCAGAGCCAUAGAGCACGCACUUGCAUGGUUCUAAACGACUCGAUGGGUGGCCACUUGCACUGCAGCCGUAGGACAGGAUACAACCAUUCUUGUUCUCCUGGCCACUUCAUUUUGAAUUUCUAGUGGUGGAAACCCAACUGUACAAAUGGAGGCCUUCCUGGCCAUGCCACAGCUUACGAAGCAUUUGGGAGCCCAAACAAGCCCAACUGCCUUACCCGUGCCUACUCAGUGGUGGGCAUCACGCAGGCAAGAUGCAGAGGAAGGGGGGGCAUGAGGGAGCGCGGGGUCCCUGCUAGGCCCUGCCUCUGGAAGUGUCUCUGGGCAUUGCUUUGGUCCCUGGGAGUGGUCACCACCUGCCCGACACAUCUUCGUAUGCUGGCCUGGCACCAUUAGGGGCAGGGCCUUAGAUCCUUGCAAGGAACAUGAUUUCCCUGAGACGUGUUUGGCUACCCAACAUGAGCUGUGCCCACAGCAGCUGCUAUUUGGUGGUAGAAGGAGCCAUCCCUGAUCACGUGCCUCACACACACACCCUUCUGCCCCAGCCUCAGCUGCCUCACCUGUAGAAUGGGCACCAGGCUGCAGGCCUGUUGAAGUCCUGCACUGGUGCCAAGGUAACCUUGGCUGGGCGAGCUCUGUGCGGGUGGGGCUCCCUCUGCUUCUUCCAAAAGUCACCUUCUGGCAUGAGUGGGCCAGCCUCGGGCCCCCCGGCUCUAGGAGUGGCCACUCUGUGGAGCUCGCCUUGGCCCCAGGCAGGUGUGGGGGGAGGUCUUGAGGCAUGUGAGUGCCCCUGAGUGACCUUGGGCUGGACCACAUCGGUGUCUUCCCCUGACCACCGAGUCAGGUCAAGGGUUAGGGCAGAGAGUCGCAGUGACAGCUCCCAUUUGCUGAGGGCUAACUAGUGUCCACUGCUAACCACUCACUGUCCCAUGGAGUCCCUCCAGCAACCUUCAGAGAGAGGGGGACAUCCCCAUUUUGCACUGCAGGAAUCUGAUGCCCAGAGAGGUUAAGUGGCUUGCCUGGGUUCACACAGCUGUGAGCACGGAACUAGACGUGAACUUGGCCUUCCUCACUGCGCGGCAGUAGGUUUUGAAGGAGCCCUGGAAAAGAAAGCUCUGGCCUCAGCCUGCCACUGAGUAGGGCCCAAGAAAGGGCUCUGUGGGUCAGGAGCUUGAAUGGUGCUCGGAGAGCAGAGACGCUGCCUGGAGCGGAUCCUUAGGGACCAAGUGCUCACUGUGGAGCUGAAGGGAGCAGACACCGGGGCUCCUUGGCCUUCCCCAGGAUGGGGCUUGGCUGCUCGGGGUCCCUCCCAGGACCCUCAGUGCCGAGCUCACGUGAACUUAGCUUCAUCACCAUGGGAGGAGACACAGAGAGAACAAACCUGGAGGCACAGGCGGAGGGAAUGUGGGGCGAGCCCCGGUGCAUGGC